rnacentral:rRNA from 1 species
GCUUGGUCCUAACCUUUUUAUUGGGUACUACUAAACUUACACAUGCAAGUCUCCGCACCCCGGUGAGAACGCCCUUUUCAUCCUUAUGGACAUAGGAGCCGGUAUCAGGCACAUUAACACGCCCAAGACACCUAGCUUUGCCACACCCACAACGGGUACUCAGCAGUGAUUAACAUUAAAAAUUAGCGCCAGCUAGACUUAGUUAUAGUAAACAGGGCCGGCAAACCUGGUGCCAGCCGCCGCGGCUAUACCACGGGGCCCAACUCAACAAACAUCGGCGUAAAGCGUGAUUAAAGCAAUACCCACAUUAGAGUUAAACCACGGCUAGGCUGUGAUAAGUCUGCCCCCUGGAAACCCUUAAACGAAAGUUACUCUAACCCCAACCACUUGAACCCACGACAGCUAAGACACAAACUGAGAUUAGAUACCUCACUAUGCUCAGCCGUAAACCUUUCACUUACACCCCACCUC